AGUGAACGCUGGCGGUAGGCCUAACACAUGCAAGUCGAACGGCAGCACAGAGGAGCUUGCUCCUUGGGUGGCGAGUGGCGGACGGGUGAGGAAUACAUCGGAAUCUACUCUGUCGUGGGGGAUAACGUAGGGAAACUUACGCUAAUACCGCAUACGACCUACGGGUGAAAGCAGGGAUCUUCGGACCUUGCGCGAUUGAAUGAGCCGAUGUCGGAUUAGCUAGUUGGCGGGGUAAAGGCCCACCAAGGCGACGAUCCGUAGCUGGUCUGAGAGGAUGAUCAGCCACACUGGAACUGAGACACGGUCCAGACUCCUACGGGAGGCAGCAGUGGGGAAUAUUGGACAAUGGGCGCAAGCCUGAUCCAGCCAUACCGCGUGGGUGAAGAAGGCCUUCGGGUUGUAAAGCCCUUUUGUUGGAAAGAAAUCCAUCUGGUUAAUACCCGGGUGGGAUGACGGUACCCAAAGAAUAAGCACCGGCUAACUUCGUGCCAGCAGCCGCCGUAA
rnacentral:rRNA from 1 species